GCCUGGUGUGGUAGUGCACGCCUGUAAUCCCAGCUACUCCGGAGGCUGAGGCAGGAGAAUCAUUUGAACCCAGGAGGUAGAGGUUGCAGUGAGCUGAGAUUGCAUCGCUGCACCCCAGCCUGGGUAACAAAAUGAGACUCUGUCUCAA
rnacentral:SRP_RNA from 2 species